UACGUAGGGUGCAAGCGUUGUUCGGAAUCACUGGGCGUAAAGGGAGCGUAGGCGGGGGUGUAAGUUAGGAGUUAAAUUCAUAGGCUUAACCUGUGGUCUGCUUCUAAUACUGCAUUCCUUGAGUAUGGGAGAGGGUGAUGGAAUUCCAGGUGUAGCGGUGGAAUGCGUAGAUAUCUGGAAGAACACCAGUUGCGAAGGCGGUCGCCUGGCCCAAUACUGACGCUGAGGCUCGAAAGCUAGGGGAG
rnacentral:rRNA from 1 species